UAGGGAAUCUUCCACAAUGGACGCAAGUCUGAUGGGGCAACGCCGCGUGAGUGAAGAAGGUCUUCGGAUCGUAAAACUCUGUUGUUAGAGAAGAACACGAGUGAGAGUAACUGUUCAUUCGAUGACGGUAUCUAACCAGCAAGUCACGGCUAACUACGUACCAG
rnacentral:rRNA from 1 species